GACGAACGCUGGCGGCGUGCUUAACACAUGCAAGUCGAGCGGAGCGGCGAACGGGUGAGUAACUCGUGAGUAACUGCCCCCCUCUCUGGGAUAACAGUUGGAAACGGCUGCUAAUACCAGAUCGUGGGGGAUGACUCGCGUCCUAUCAGCUUGUUGGUGGGGUAGUGGCCUACCAAGGGGACGACGGGUCGCCGGCCUGUGAGGGCGACAGGCCACAUUGGGCUCGGAGACGGCCCAAACUCCUACGGGAGGCAGCAGUGGGGAAUAGUGCACAAUGGGGGAAACCCUGAUGCAGGAACGCCGCGUGCGGGAUGACUGCCUUCGGGUUGGAACCCGCGUUCAGCUAGGACGCGGUAGUGGCAGAAGAAGCACCGGCUAACUACGUGCCAGCAGCCGCGGUAAUUC
rnacentral:rRNA from 1 species